CGGCCAUAUAACAUUGGUUCCCAUAUGAUCACCAAAGUUAAGCAACUUUGAGCUUGGUCAGUAUAUAAAUGGGUGACUGUUUGGAAAUACCAGGUGCUGUAA